CUUAAAGCGGGCGCAGCAUUAACGCUUCCCGCCCCGGUGACCUCUCAGGGGUCUCCCCGCCAAAGGUGCUCCGCCGCUAAGGAACAUGGCGAAGGUGGAGCAGGUCCUGAGCCUCGAGCCGCAGCACGAGCUCAAAUUCCGAGAUGAACAUGUUGAACCAACAAAUGAACCUCCUCAGGACUUCUGAUGGGAUUGGGCCCAUUUUCCUUUCACUGUGUCCCUCAUGCUGUCUCCUGGAUGCGGCGCAAGGAGGCUGCCAGGGUGCUGGGAUCCUUUUUCUCCGCAGAGCUGUCUGGAGCAAUACCUGCGGCGAUGGGAAGCCAUGACCCUGGUUUCUCCCAGAUACUAUUACCUCUGUCCCUUCACCGAUGUUGUCACCACCAACCUAAAGCUUGGCAACCCGACAGACCGAAAUGUGUGUUUUAAGGUGAAGACUACAGCACCACGUAGGUACUGUGUGAGGCCCAACAGCGGAAUCAUCGAUGCAGGGGCCUCAAUUAAUGUAUCUGUGGAAGGAGGCAAAACCGGAAGACCUUAUGGAUUCAAAACUUAGAUGUGUGUUUGAAUUGCCAGCAGAGAAUGAUAAACCACAUGAUGUAGAAAUAAAUAAAAUUAUAUCCACAACUGCAUCAAAGACAGAAACACCAAUAGUGUCUAAGUCUCUGAGUUCUUCUUUGGAUGACACUGAAGUUAAGAAGGUUAUGGAAGAAUGUAAGAGGCUGCAAGGUGAAGUUCAGAGGCUACGGGAGGAGAACAAGCAGUUCAAGGAAGAAGAUGGACUGCGGAUGAGGAAGACAGUGCAGAGCAACAGCCCCAUUUCAGCAUUAGCCCCAACUGGGAAGGAAGAAGGCCUUAGCACCCGGCUCUUGGCUCUGGUGGUUUUGUUCUUUAUCGUUGGUGUAAUUAUUGGGAAGAUUGCCUUGUAGAGGUAGCAUGCACAGGAUGGUAAAUUGGAUUGGUGGAUCCACCAUAUCAUGGGAUUUAAAUUUAUCAUAACCAUGUGUAAAAAGAAAUUAAUGUAUGAUGACAUCUCACAGGUCUUGCCUUUAAAUUACCCCUCCCUGCACACACAUACACAGAUACACACACACAAAUAUAAUGUAACGAUCUUUUAGAAAGUUAAAAAUGUAUAGUAACUGAUUGAGGGGGAAAAGAAUGAUCUUUAUUAAUGACAAGGGAAACCAUGAGUAAUGCCACAAUGGCAUAUUGUAAAUGUCAUUUUAAACAUUGGUAGGCCUUGGUACAUGAUGCUGGAUUACCUCUCUUAAAAUGACACCCUUCCUUGCCUGUUGGUGCUGGCCCUUGGGGAGCUGGAGCCCAGCAUGGUGGGGAGUGCGGUCAGCUCCACACAGUAGUCCCCACGUGGCCCACUCCCGGCCCAGGCUGCUUUCCGUGUCUUCAGUUCUGUCCAAGCCAUCAGCUCCUUGGGACUGAUGAACAGAGUCAGAAGCCCAAAGGAAUUGCACUGUGGCAGCAUCAGACAUACUCGUCAUAAGUGAGAGGCGUGUGUUGACUGAUUGACCCAGCGCUUUGGAAAUAAAUGGCAGUGCUUUGUUCACUUAAAGGGACCAAGCUAAAUUUGUAUUGGUUCAUGUAGUGAAGUCAAACUGUUAUUCAGAGAUGUUUAAUGCAUAUUUAACUUAUUUAAUGUAUUUCAUCUCAUGUUUUCUUAUUGUCACAAGAGUACAGUUAAUGCUGCGUGCUGCCGAACUCUGUUGGGUGAACUGGUAUUGCUGCUGGAGGGCUGUGGGCUCCUCUGUCUCUGGAGAGUCUGGUCAUGUGGAGGUGGGGUUUAUUGGGAUGUUGGAGAAGAGCUGCCAGGAAGUGUUUUUUCUGGGUCAGUAAAUAACAACUGUCAUAGGGAGGGAAAUUCUCAGUAGUGACAGUCAACUCUAGGUUACCUUUUUUAAUGAAGAGUAGUCAGUCUUCUAGAUUGUUCUUAUACCACCUCUCAACCAUUACUCACACUUCCAGUACCCAGGCCCAAGUCUGAGCCUGACCUCCCCUUGGGGACCUAGCCUGGAGUCAGGACAAAUGGAUCGGGCUGCAGAGGGUUAGAAGCGAGGGCACCAGCAGUUGUGGGUGGGGAGCAAGGGAAGAGAGAAACUCUUCAGCGAAUCCUUCUAGUACUAGUUGAGAGUUUGACUGUGAAUUAAUUUUAUGCCAUAAAAGACCAACCCAGUUCUGUUUGACUAUGUAGCAUCUUGAAAAGAAAAAUUAUAAUAAAGCCCCAAAAUUAAGAAUUCUUUUGUCAUUUUGUCACAUUUGCUCUAUGGGGGGAAUUAUUAUUUUAUCAUUUUUAUUAUUUCGCCAUUGGAAGGUUAACUUUAAAAUGAGCCCUAUCACUGAGAAAUACGUGUUUCAUGAUUUAACUCUGUGUGUGUGUGUGUGUGUGUGUAUUUUUUUUUUGGUUGUCUUCAGCUGACAGUAUGAAAAAUGAAACUGCUGAAAAAGCUGAGCACCUGGUCACCCUUGGCCUUCCAUUGCUUUGGCCUUCAGUAAAAAGCAGCCUCCCUUCUAGGUCAGGGAACCAUGCCAUUGAGACUAGUAACAGGCGUUCUGGGCACAGUCCCACUGUGCACAGGUUUGAGAGGACAAGUUCAUCAGAAGGAAGGCAGUCCUUAGAAGUCACAUACGUUGAGCCACGUUGCUCCUAAGCCUGGCUCUGUCAAGCUGGAUCAGGGGCCUUGAAACUGGAGAAGUGGAAGUCUGUGGUUGGUCUGAGUAAGUAACUUCCUGUCUUCAUGAAAAAAGUUGACUUUGAAUCCCAGGUACUCACAGAAAUGGUGAACAGACUUAGUUGUUACCCAGGCACCCAUGGAUUGUGUUGAGUGUGCAGACAGGGAGGCCACCCCAAUAGGAAUUCGUCUCCAGGAUUUUUCCCAUGUGUCCCCCAGUACUUAUAAAAGGGAGUGAAAAGACCGAGCUGUAAGGCAUGUGCCUUCUGCCACCUGACUUUCCGUGAGGGGACUAAAAUUUACUAAUCGUAGUUGCUGCAGCCAGUUAAGUCCUGUAGCUUCCAGGUCCUCAUGUCUUUGAUAGGAGAGUACUUAGGUGGUCCCCAACAGUGCCUAGGGGUACAGUACAGUCCCAUUACACUAGAGCAGGGCUCUAUUUAUUUUUAAAGGAUAUGGCCGUGUGUUUUGAUAAAACUUUAUUCACAAAAACAGCCGGGUCAUGGGAUUUGGCUUGUGAGUCUGUAACAGUUCUUAAAAGGAAUAUCUGAGAAACUACUCUGUUUUAGACCUUUGAAGGUGAUUUAGAGUUUUGUGUACGUCUAGGAGAAGGUGUUCAGCUUCUCAGAGGAUGUGGACAUUUUGGUUGCAGCUAAAAAUCAGCCUCUGAAGUCUCUCUCCCUUCUAGAGGUUAGGACUUGGUGAACAUGUUUGUGGGCCUUUUGACUGAGUGGCAGAAGGAAACUGCUCAGGAAGAGAAGCAGGUGAGUGAUGGGAAGGUUGAUUAUUUUCUCAGUCAUCCUGGCAGCCAAAAAUGUGCCAGGAAAAGAAAGAAUGUGGAGCACGCGUGGCUCCUGGAGGACUUGGAGAUGCAUGCACAUUUAGGGUGUCUUCCCUAGAAUUACAU
rnacentral:sRNA from 1 species